AUGAAAACAAGACUGGUUUUCACUCAUGUUAGAAAAGUAACAUUCCUAGUGCAUAGGAUCAAAAAUUCCAGUGCACAUCAUUGGAAGGAAACAUUCAGUGGUGAGUCCAGAGUUCAGAGUAUUCAGUUCAAAGACUCCUAUUCUGGAUAUACAAUCCUGGAAACAGGGCUGUUUAUGCACAUUGUCUGUGUCAUCUAUGAAGUGUAUAUGCAGCUACAUGGAAGGGAUAUGAAGAAUUUGCUUAGGGAUCUGCACAAGAAUAACUGGUUACCAGACUCCAGCCUGGUGGAGUGUAACAUUAUUGAAAAGCUCUGAUAGCCGAUGGCUGAAAAUGCUCCGGAAUACUGUAACAUUACAGUCUUGUCUUGACUAUGUCAGCAUUAGGAGAUACAGCAUGCAGGAACAAUCAAGAGACUGUUUUUGACACUCCCAAUCUGAAAAAUAAGAUGCUGCAUAAUAGCUUGGUUUCUGAAAACCUGUGCUUGUAAGACAAACAUUGUGAUAGUUGCAAUAAAACAAAUGUCAGCAAUGAAGAAUACA
rnacentral:lncRNA from 1 species